AUUGAACGCUGGCGGCAGGCCUAACACAUGCAAGUCGAACGGUAACAGGAAGCAGCUUGCUGCUUUGCUGACGAGUGGCGGACGGGUGAGUAAUGUCUGGGAAACUGCCUGAUGGAGGGGGAUAACUACUGGAAACGGUAGCUAAUACCGCAUAACGUCGCAAGACCAAAGUGGGGGACCUUCGGGCCUCACACCAUCGGAUGUGCCCAGAUGGGAUUAGCUGGUAGGUGGGGUAAUGGCUCACCUAGGCGACGAUCCCUAGCUGGUCUGAGAGGAUGACCAGCCACACUGGAACUGAGACACGGUCCAGACUCCUACGGGAGGCAGCAGUGGGGAAUAUUGCACAAUGGGCGCAAGCCUGAUGCAGCCAUGCCGCGUGUGUGAAGAAGGCCUUCGGGUUGUAAAGCACUUUCAGCGAGGAGGAAGGCGUUGUAGUUAAUAACUGCAGCGAUUGACGUUACUCGCAGAAGAAGCACCGGCUAACUCCGUGCCAGCCGCCGCCGUAAAAC
rnacentral:rRNA from 1 species